AGUAGGCCCUCUAGUUACACACCCGGCCAGAGUUGCCGAUGUUGACGAUUCCAAUUUUCGUCCCAUUUUCGCAGUCGACGGCUCUGGGAAGUACGCGUACCAUAUAACUCCUAUACCAUGGCUGUGUUACAGUGGGGCACACAGGCAACAAUUCAAAAAAAGCUGGUUAUGAACGCAAUUGAUGUCAAGAUAAAGAUGAAAUUAUCGAAGAACUGAAAAUGGAAAUAAAAUUUCAAAAAGAUAUCAACAAAUCCUUGUCAAUGCAGACAACUUUUUUAACUGACGUGAGGAAGUUGUUGUUAAACUUCAAUAGCCAACAACUAGCUCCACCUAGUACGUCGAACGACGAUAAUUUUUUAAAAUCAUUAAGCAAGCCAAGCAUGACGGCCUACCCGACAUUUGGUUUGGAAAACUGUGAUAAAAGGCUAGAAAUGUCCCUUGCAAAUUACACUGACAGUGCUCCAUUGACGUCAACCGUGAUCGAAGAUGAAGAUGAUGGUCCUACAUACGAUCAUGAAAGUUACUUAUUAACAUGUUAUGCACUGUUAUUGAUAGCAAUUUCAAAUAUUGUUAUUUUUUGCAAAAAACUUUUCCGAUACCUGACAUUGUACUGCGUAGGAUAGUGAAAGGCCCAGUCACUCAAUUUGUAUCACAUUUAAUGGACAAAUUAUAUUCUGACCAAUACCUAGCGACGCACAAAAUGAGUGAUCUGAGAGGGGGCUCUGUAGAAAGCAAAAGGAUUGCCAUGAACAAAUGUGAGCUUCAACAUAUCAUUGAUAGAGUUCUCGAUUGUGAAUUGGUGAACGUGGGUGGAUCCUUGGUGAAUGAAAAAAUGAUAAAAAAUGCUAUCACUCGGAAAUUUAAUAAUUCCCGUGCUAAGUAGCCGAUACAUUUUAUGUUUUCAUUGUUUCAUGAUGACUUGUUGGUUGUUUGUCAUGAUAUAAAAAUACAAUGACUGUCGCAUA